GCAUUUUAUUUUUAUGUAGAGCUUUAUUUGUGUUAUUUUAGGGCUUUAUUUGGAAUUAUUUUUUGUGUAAGGGGUUUAUGUUAAUUAUUCUUGUUUAGGCCCUAUAUAUAGGGGACUUUUAUCAUGAUUAGGGUUUCAAUGAAGUGAAUUAAAAAUUCUUCCCCCAUGUCUCUUCUCCUCUCUCUUUUCCAUCUCCUUCUCUUCCUCCCUUCUUCCCUCCUUUCCCCCUUGCUCUCUUCUUCUCCUCUUUUCUUCCUUCCCCUUUCUCCUAUUUUCUCUGACCUGUCGCCAUAGCAACCGUUCACGCCUCAGUUCUGCCUCAACUUGUCACCACAGCAACCGUACACGUCUCAGUUCUGCAUCAACUAGGCGCCACAGCACCCCUUUCCCGUCUCGGUUCGUCAUCAACUUGGUAUCAGAGCCGUGCUUUGCCUCUGUGCCAAAGCAACAUACCCUGAUGCAUGGCAGAGCAGCCCCCGAUCCCGCGUAUCAGGCUGUCGCACGAGUUCUUCCCCGUACACCUCACUCCGCGAACGCCGGAGCAUGUUGAAGGGCCAUGCACAACUUGCGUUGCCAAAAGGAGAGAAGCAUCACCUCUCUUCUCGCAUCACUGUCACUGAGCCCCAACGAGAACAGCCACCGAUGGUCUCAGGUCCACCAUAGCAGCCGUCGGCAUCAACAGGGAAGGAGCCCCCAGAUCCACCGUAGCAGCCACCAGUGUUCGACGGCCGCUGCUCCCGAAGCUGGUGACCGGUCGCCGACUGCCACCACAAGUCACGGAGCUCCGCCGCAACCGCCGACGCGGAUCUCGGCACGGCCUCCCGAAACCGUCGGGAGCUUUCAGUCCGCUAACGGGUCAGGCAUAGACCCGUGAAUUUUUUUAGCAACCCGGAUUCAUUCCAGAGGAAAAAAACUCCGUAGGGUCACGUGAUCUGCAUGUGAUUCCCGCACGUGCGAAGCCGCACGUGCUUCCACGUUAAAAAGAAACUGCUUACCUCUGCUCCCGAUGAAGAGGAAACCCCAGAGGGUGUCCGCCGCUGCUGCCGCCAUCGAUGCACCACCGCCCACGCGUCGCCGCUCGCCGCUCUCCUUCGCGCCCACCGACAUCGUGUCGCUUCCGCACCGGUCCCUCUCCGCCUCCCCUUUCGCCGCACCUGCCAUCACCCCUUCGCCCCUUCCGCUCGCCACCCUUCCUCCGGUUGUCGCCUCCCUCGCCCCAUCCGUCCCUCUCCGACUCCACAGACCACACCACAGAAACCCACUUCUCUCUCUCAUCUCAGGGAUUCCAAACCCAUUCCAACCCCCCCCCCCCAUCGAGUGGCCACUCCACUCCCCUCACCCCUUUCUCUUUCCGGGUCUGAGUCUCAAACCCAAACCCGCAGCCCGCCUCCGCAUCCACGGUAGCCCGGUCCGUGCGCCAGCCUCCUUGAGCGCGGCCCAGGCCCAAGCGGCCGCAGGAUCGGGCUUGGUCCAGGCCCGCGCGCACGCUUCUUUGAGCGUGGCCCAGGCCCAAGCGGCCGCAAACCCUUUCUCAGGCCCGAGCCAGGAUCUUGUUCAGCCCAAUCCAGGAGCCCGAGAGCCCCGUUCUGCCACAAAUCUGGACCAUAGCUCCAGUUAUCUCCCUGCACAGUGCCUGUCAUCCUCUUUGCACUCGAGACUCCACAACGGAUGCUUCCGGUUGACUGCAUCCACAAUAGGUAAUAGGUUCUUCCUUCUUUUGGGCUUGUUUAUCUAAUUGUGCUCUAGUUCUCUUACAUGAUAGCCCCAUUUUGAAAAUUUACUUUACUGUCAAACUUCAAAACCUAGAACAUCUACUACAUCCUCUUCACCAUUUAAAUCUAGAUAUUAAAUUAGCACACCCUAGCGACAAAAUAUUUCUCAACAUCCAUCGAUCGGGUUACUUUAGGAUUAGAACGACUGUAGUACGUGCUUGCAACCUAACUUCUUAUAGUGAUUAAUUUUAUACUUUAAUUCCGAAGUAACUGAAGUACAAAUCGGUAACAUUUAUUUUUAAGUUACUUUUGUGAAAAUUUGCUGAUUUCCGAAUUCAUAGUAGGUUGCAUUAGUAGGUUGUUUUGCAUCACAUUUGGUCAGUUAGAGUUCACUAGUAACAUUGCAUUUCACAUCAUCAACUAGUGUUAGCAUUGCAUGCUAACCCAUAGCGGUAGGGAGUACUAUCUCGCUUAACCUAAAACCCCUUUAGCUACCAUGCAUUCCAAGGCUCUACAAGAUCUCAUGGAACGAUUCGCUGCCUUGCAAGCUGACCAUGAAGAAUUCAAGCGAGAGGUCCGUGCACUAGUGCAACAAUUAGGACUCCUGAACUGCCAACCCCAAUCGCAGCCUAUCCUGAGUUCGGUUUGGCCGCACCACCUGUAGGUCUUUCCCAUCCCCCCAGAAACCAACAUCCUCCUGAUUACCAGCGUGAUCUUGACGAACGGCUACUGCGUACCGUAAGAGUAUAUGCCCCCACCUUUGCUAGUCAACUAGAGCCAAGCGUGUAUCUUGAUUGGANNNNNNNNNNNNNNNNNNNNNNNNNNNNNNNNNNNNNNNNNNNNNNNNNNNNNNNNNNNNNNNNNNNNNNNNNNNNNNNNNNNNNNNNNNNNNNNNNNNNNNNNNNNNNNNNNNNNNNNNNNNNNNNNNNNNNNNNNNNNNNNNNNNNNNGUACAAGCUCAUUGGUACUGGCAUAAUAUUGAACGUAUGCGUGAGACCCAAAGGCUUUCUCGUAUCACCACAUGGGAGGAUAUGAAGAAAAAGCUGAAUGAGAAGUAUCUGUCAUUCUCUUACUGACAAUGCCUUAUGGAUAGGUGGUAGAAACUAAAUCAAGGGAUAAUAACCGUUGCUGAUUACAUUGCACGAUUUGAGGAGUUUCAUAUGAGGUGCGGUGUAAUUGAAGAGGAGACUGUUACUAUCUUUAGGUUUCGGGCAGGACUCCGUGAGGAGAUCCAGAAAGAAUUAAUCCUCUGAGAGAUUACCAUCCUUGGCCAAGCAUACCAGUUGGCUCAAGAUGUUGAUAGUUUCUUACGGAUCCCUGUAGUGAGGCGUACCGACCCUCAACCUAUGGCCCUAGGAGCUCGACCUAAUCAAAAUUAUCUCCCGCAACCCAGACAGAUUUCCAAUCCUCCUAACCAGCCUGGUCCUAGCCAAGCACCGACUAGGACAUCCCCGAUGCCUGUCCAGAACCCUUCAAGUGAUAAAGGAAAAGGCAUACUAGGUCCCAACCCUCCCUCUAGAAGCCAAAUCCAAUGUUUUAGGUGCCAAAAAUUUAGCUAUAUAGCAUCCCAAUGUAAUGCCAAGACCUACCUAAUGACUGAACUAGAAGUUGGGACCCAAGAGAAUGAAUGUGUCGAAGAAGUCUACGAGCCAAACAUUGAGGAUUUUGUAGAAGAUUUUGAAGACGAACAGACCGGGUUAGAGUUUAUCCAGGCUGAACCCCAAAAGAAGCCCACUGAUCUAAAUAACCAAAAUCCUAGGCUUCAUGUGGUUAGGUGUACUCUAGCUCAGACUAAGAUCGAACAAGAUUGGCGUAGGACCUUCCUGUUUUACACGCUUAUUAAGAUCAAUGGUAAAAUGUGCAAAAUCCUAUUUGAUAGCGGAAAUCACAUCAACGCUAUUGCUUCCGAAGUUGUCUCCCACCUCGGCCUGAAAUCUACCCCUCAUCCCAACCUAUAUAAGGUAGCUUGGGUAAAUAAGACAUCUAUUUCGGUAUCGGAAAGAUGCCUUGUCUCGAUUCAAUUCCUAUUUUAUAAAGACGAAAUCUGAUGUGACUGCAUUCCGAUGGACGUAGGUCAAGUCAUCCUAGGAAGACCUUGGCUAUACGAUAUGGACGUCACACUUCAUGGACGUUCGAAUUCGUGUAGCUUUAUGUUCCAGGGUCGGAAAAUUAUACUGAACUCAUUGCCUCCUAGAGAGCCCGCCUCUGAAAAGAAGAGUGCCACUCUACGAAAAGAUGAAUCACUUCACAUCAUCACUUCGAAAGAGAUAAUGAAGGAUAUCAAAAGCCAAUCACCUAUGUUUGCCCUUGUGGCUAGAGUCAUCAAUGUGUUGUCGAACCUUGAGCACCCACCGGUAGUUGUUCUCCUAUUGGAGGAGUUUCAUUCUGUUUUCCCUGAGGAUCUUCCAGAUACACUUCCUCCGAUGCGUGACAUCCAGCACGCAAUUGAUCUCGUUUCCGGAGCAUCCCUACCCAAUCUUUUCCAUCAUAAAUUCAACCCAAACGAGCACACUGAACUGAAACGUCAAGUUGACGAACUCCUUAUCCGAGUGUAUGUUCGUGAGAGCCUGAGCCCCUGUGAUGUACGUGCACUCCUCACUCCCAAGAAAGAUGGUUCUUGGAGAAUGUGCGUCGAUAGCCGUGCCAUCAAUAAAAUCACAGUUAAGUAUGAUUUUUUCAUUCCUAGGCUGGACGACCUCUUAGACUUUAUGUCUAGUGCUACAGUCUUUUCCAAGAUCGACCUGAAGAAGUGGAUACUACCAGAUUCGGAUUCGUCCUGGGGAUGAAUGGAAAACUGCCUUUAAGACCAAAGAUGGACUCUACGAAUGGUUAGUUAUGCCGUUCAGAUUAAUAAAUGCUCCUAAUACUUUUAUGAGGGUGAUAACGCAGAUUUUUCGACCUUUCUUGAAUAAAUUUGUCGUUGUGUAUUUUGAUGACAUCCUCAUAUAUAGUCAAACUCAGGAGCUCCAUCUCUCACACUUAAGGCAAGUCUGUGAUGUCCUUAGGAGAGAAGUUCUUUCGCAAACCCCCAAAAGUGUGCCUUCCUAACCGAUCACGUCGCUUUCNNNNNNNNNNNNNNNNNNNNAUGCCGUUCAGAUUAAUAAAUGCUCCUAAUACUUUUAUGAGGGUGAUAACGCAGAUUUUUCGACCUUUCUUGAAUAAAUUUGUCGUUGUGUAUUUUGAUGACAUCCUCAUAUAUAGUCAAACUCAGGAGCUCCAUCUCUCACACUUAAGGCAAGUCUGUGAUGUCCUUAGGAGAGAAGUUCUUUGCAAACCCCAAAAAGUGUGCCUUCCUAACCGAUCACGUCGCUUUCUUAGGGUUCAUAGUGUCUUCUAAGGGUGUUUCCGCUGAUCCGAAAAAAGUAAGCGCGAUAGUCGAUUGUCCUGAGGCCAAGACCCUAGCAGAAGUACGUAGUUUUCAUGGCUUCGCUACUUUCUAUCGCCGCUUCAUUAGGAAUUUUAGUUCAAUAAUGUCUCCCAUUACGGAUUGCAUGAAGAAAGGAGACUUUAUCUGGACUAAAUCGGCAUCCCAAGCAUUUAAUGAAAUAAAGAAAAGGAUGACCGAAGCUCCUGUUUUGCGCCUUCCUGAUUUCACAAAGGUAUUCGAAGUCGUAUGUGAUGCCUCUGGCGUUGGCAUAGGUGGCGUGUUAAGCCAAGAAGGUCAUCCUGUCGCAUUCUUUAGCGAAAAAUUAAGCGAUGGCAGGUUGCGUUAUUCUACCUAUGAUAAAGAAUUCUAUGCGGUAAUCCAAACUUUGCAACAUUGGUGACACUAUUUGCUACCGCAAGAAUUUGUAUUAUAUUCAGACCGUAAGGCUUUAAAGUAUCUCAACUUUCAAAAGAAACUGAACAUUGACAUGGCCAAUGAAUCGAGUUUCUUCAAGCCUAUACUUUUGUCCUGAAACAUAAAGCCGGAGUUGAGAAUAAGGUUGUUAAUGCGCUCAGUCGACAGAUCUUCCUAUCCGUAAUGAGCACUGAAGUAAUUGGUUUUGAAAGGAUCAGGGAACAAUAUACCACUUAUCCUAACUUUAGUGAAGUAUAUCUUAUCCUACGAGAUGGAGUAGAGAGAGAACAAAAUGAUUUCUUCCUACAAAAUAAUUACCUCUUUCGCUCCGAUCGAUUGUGUAUCCCUCGAACCUCAUUGAGAGAUUUCCUAGUAUGGAAAAUACAUGCUGGAGGACUGUCUGGGCAUUUCGGAAGAGACAAGACCAUUGAAAUGGUGGAGAGACGUUUCUUCUAGCCGAGUCUCAAGAGAGAUGUGACCAAAAUUAUUGGUCAAUAGGUUCUUAGGCAUGAGUCCUUUGAAGUGAUGAACGGUUAUAAACCUAAGCAGCCCAUAGAUUUGAUUUCCAUGUCUCAUCAACAUAGUCUCUGAGUCUGCACAAUCAUUUGCAUCACACCUGCAUUCAUUGCAUCAGAAAAUCAGCAAACGUAUUCACUCUAAUAACUUAAAGUAUAAAUUUCUUGCUGAUUUGUACAGACGUUAUAAAGAGUUGAAUGUAGGAGAUUACAUCAUGGUGAGAAUUAAACCUGAACGAUUUUCUUCGAAAACAUUCAAAAAGUUGCAAGCUCGUAGUGCGGGACCGUUCAAAGUCCUGAAGAAAAUCAGUUUGAAUGCUUAUGCCGUAAAUCUUCCUAAAGACUAUGGAAUUAGUGUGACAUUUAAUAUUGAAGAUUUAGUCCCAUACAAAAAGACAACAUUCAUUCCUUCUGAUCCUUUUGUUGAUACACCCGUCUUUGUUGAUCACCUUGACCCAUCACCUGCUAUUGAGCCUCCACCUCCAAAAUUUCAUGCACGCAGAGAACACAUAGAACAUAUAUUAGAUGAGCAGGUUAUAUCUACCAGGAGAGAAAGUUACCGACGUUACCUUAUUCGGUGGAAAGGUCGAUCCGAAUCAGAUGUGACGUAGAUUUCGCGAGCCAAGUUGCAGCGCCUUAACUCUGACCUUCUGGAGCAGUACGACAGCCGGCCAGACCUGCACUCGACGGAGUCGAGCUUUUUCCACCCGGAAGAAGUUGAUGGGGACAACAGAGCUGAUCAUCCGCCUGUCUAGUCCCCCAUUUUUAUUAGCAUUUUAAGUUAUUUCUAGGCUUGUUUGCAUUUUGUUUUUAUGUAGGGAUUUAUUUGUGUUAUUUUAGGGCUUUAUUAGGAAUUAUUUUUUGUGUAAGGGGUUUGUGUUAAUUAUUCUUGUUUGGGCCCUAUAUAUAGGGGACUUUUAUCAUGAUUAGGGUUUCAAUGAAGUGAAUUAAAAAUUCUUCUCCCACGUCUCUUCUCCUUUCUCUUUUCCCUCUCCUCUUCCUCCCUUCUUCCCCCCUUCUCCUUCUUCUUUCCCCCUUCCUCUCUUCUUCUCCUUUCUUCCUUCCCCUUUCUCCUAUUUUCUCUGACCUGUCGCCACAGCAACCGUUCACGCCUCAGUUUUGCCUCAACUUGUCACCACAGCAACCGUACACGCCUCAGUUCUGCAUCAACUAGGCGCCACAGCACCCCUUUCUCGUCUCGGUUCGUC
rnacentral:lncRNA from 1 species